rnacentral:misc_RNA from 1 species
UGGCUGAGGUAUGCUUCAACUUCAUUCUCAUGCCAUAUAUAUGCUGUGUUACUUUUGAUUUCUGUUCUGUAUAAUGGCCAUUCCAUGUUUUGCUAGCAUCAAGAUGCUGGCAGAAAUCUAUCUAGUUGAGAACUGCUGAAAAUGAGUUGGUUUUCUUUAGAACUUUCCCUGUGCCAACAAAAACUAAAUAACAGGAUGUAGGUUCAACAGUAUGAGCUUUAGUAAAUGAUAUCUCUGAUAUUUUCGGAGAAUUUUUAUUACAUAAUCAAAUAUUUUACCUUUGGCCCAAUACAUAUAUUGCCCUCAUAUAACUGAAGAGUCUGGUGACCCCUAAGCUCUUAUUUUGACCUAUUAAACACCUCAAUGUCUAUUUUUGCACCUAUUAAACACAAAUUUAUUUGGUUUUCAGAUUAUGUUGAUAUACACACAUAAAGACAAGCAAAAAUAACUAUAAAAAUGUUGACGUAACCCUUUUAGCAAUGCUAAUGUGGGUAAGAAUUGUCAUUUGAGAGUGAGAAAUAUGGUGGAAAUGAGUUAAAAAAAAUUAAGAGAGAGAGAGAGAGA